rnacentral:rRNA from 1 species
GAGUCAGUAAAGUUGGUUAUGCAUCUGUAUGUACUGGCUUUACUGGUUCCUCCCUCUUGAAGAACUGUGAUGUCAUUUACUUGGUGUUGCGGGGAAACAGGACUGUUACUUUGAAAAAAUUAGAGUGUUUAAAGCAGGCUAACGCCUGGAUACAUUAGCAUGGAAUAAUGAAAUAGGACGAGCGAUCCUAUUUUGUUGGUUUCUAGGAUUGACGUA